CACGUAGGCGGACUCUUAAGUCAGGGGUGAAAUCCUGGAGCUCAACUCCAGAACUGCCUUUGAUACUGGGAGUCUUGAGUUCGGGAGAGGUGAGUGGAACUGCGAGUGUAGAGGUGAAAUUCGUAGAUAUUCGCAAGAACACCAGUGGCGAAGGCGGCUCACUGGCCCGAUACUGACGCUGAGGUGCGAAAGCGUGGGGAGCAACA
rnacentral:rRNA from 1 species